rnacentral:rRNA from 1 species
UACGGAGGGUGCAAGCGUUAAUCGGAAUUACUGGGCGUAAAGCGUGCGUAGGCGGUUAUUUAAGUCAGAUGUGAAAGCCCUGGGCUUAACCUGGGAACUGCAUUUGAUACUGGAUGACUAGAGUUGAGUAGAGGAGAGUGGAAUUUCAGGUGUAGCGGUGAAAUGCGUAGAGAUCUGAAGGAACACCAGUGGCGAAGGCGGCUCUCUGGACUCAAACUGACGCUGAGGUACGAAAGCGUGGGUAGCAAACAGG